rnacentral:lncRNA from 1 species
ACAAAACAAAUGCGAUCACAUGAUUAGAGGGCUUCACAGAAAUGAUUAGCAUGUGCAAUCUCUUCCCUUUUGAUGCCUUACCCUAGUACAUUCGAAUUUAAAAGUACUUCUUCCUCAUAGAGAAUUAAAUUGUACAAGAAAAAGAGCUAACACAUAUAUGAUAUAGUGAAACUAAAAAAGAUGAAAGUUGGAACAGAAACUAAUCAUAGAUUUGAUUGCGUCCAUGACCUAGAAAAUACGAUCACCUUUAUUGUUCUCUAACUUAAUUUAUUUACUCUCAUGAGAUUUCUCUGCAGCUUUCA